CCCCCUCUCUACUCAAAACCAAUUUCACCAUAUUCAUCUCUCUUCUCUAUCUCCAAAAAUCUCACAAAUCUCACUUCAACUCUUCUUCGUCUUCUUCCCAUCAACCCUAAUUCCCCUUUCUAAGGUCCCAUCAAUACUCCGAUUCCCCCAAAUCAAACAAACAAUGCUAUUUUCACUCUAAAUCUUUUCUCCAUCACUAUCUUUAUCUCCUUCUCCUUCUUCUUUCUUCCCCCAUUUUUCCCCUCAUAAUGUUCAAAUAUUACAUCCUUAUCCCAUCUCUUACACUUGUUAUCACUAUCCCUAUCAUCUACUUCUUCUUCCCUCCAUCUAUCUUCCCUCAACGACAAAUCCCCAUUUCUCUCCCUGAUGAACUCGACGAUCUUUCCCUUUUUCAUAAAGCCAUCGCUGCCGAUUCCACUUUCCUCAAAAAAACAACCCAUAACAAACACCCCUCCAACAAAUUCCGUCUCGGUUCCACCACCCUCCGCCGACCCAAAAUCGCUUUCCUGUUUUUAACCAACUCCGAUUUACACUUUCAGCUAUUGUGGAACAAAUUCUUCAAUAGCUCCGAUCCGCAUCUGUACAAUAUCUACAUUCACGCUGACCCAUCUGUGAGGAUUACACCUCCCGUAGGUGUUUUUGCUGACCGAUUUAUUCAUUCGAAGAGAACUCAACGUUCUUCGCCGACGUUGAUCUCUGCCACGCGCCGUCUCCUUGCUCACGCGCUGUUAGAUGAUCCGGAUAAUGCGUAUUUUGGUCUUGUUUCUCAGCAUUGUAUACCUUUACACUCGUUUAAUUACUUUUAUAGUUUUCUAUUGGAUACCCAGAAAUUGUCUAGGAAAAUGGAGUUUCCUAGUUAUAUAGAGAUUCUUAAUGAAUCUCCUUCGUUAUUAGAUAGGUAUAAUGCUAGAGGGGAGAAUGUGAUGGAACCCGAAGUCAGUUUUGAGAAAUUCAAAGUGGGUUCGCAGUUUUUUGUUAUUACUAGAAAGCAUUCGUUAAUGGUGAUUAAGGACAGUAAGCUAUGGAGGAAAUUCAAGAAGCCUUGUUUAAAAAUUGAAUCUUGUUAUCCUGAAGAACAUUAUUUUCCUACUUUGUUAUCGAUGGAGGAUCCGGAUGGGUGUACUCGCUAUACAUUAACGAGAGUGAAUUGGACUGAUUCAGUUGAUGGACAUCCACAUACUUAUCAUCCACCUGAAGUAUCCCCUGAGCUGAUUUACAAGCUCAGAAAGUCGAAUUCGACGAAUUCAAUGAGUUCUUACAUGUUUGCAAGGAAAUUCUCACCGGAUUGCUUGGAACCGUUGAUGGAAAUGGCGGAUUCCAUCAUUUUUAAAGACUAAAAUUUCCUUUUCUUGGUAAGUUUUGUUCUUUCUUUAUUAAGGCUUUCUCCAGUUGAGUUUUGUUGAGUUUACUUGGUAGAUUUUGGUAAUCUGAGAUGGACGGCUGAUAUUGUAUUGUAGAAAGUAUUACUAGUAAUAUUGAUACACUAGAGUUAGUGUUGCAUACUCAAAGAGUGGACAAUUUGAGUGGUGAAUCUCUUUAAGGUGCUUUUCUUGUUUUCCUUUUAUGGUGAUGGGACUUUUUUAGAAUCUAACUAGGCUGGAUAUUUUUAAAUAGCUGAGCAUAUAUAGGUGAAUUUUGGUACGUUUCAAAUGUGAAUACAGUUAUGUUUUCAGGAAUUAUUUCAACGGUCUUAAUGUUGUCUUCAAAAGAUUAUAGUCGUACUUAGGAUCGUUUGGUUCACGGCAUAAGGUGGGAUAUUUUAGGAUUAAGUGUGGGAUCAAAUUUGUAAUUCGUUUUCGGUUGAAGGUAUAAAUUUAUCCUGAACUUCAUAAUGGGAUAUCCCAUCCAACUAUGUACUAUCAUGAUCCUAGGAUAACUUAGUCCACGAACCAAAUGACGUAGUAAUUGUGAACUUAUUUUUGUAAUCAUGUUCUUUAAACUCUCCAUGAUCCAACACUUGUAGAUAUUGUGAACUUAUUUGGAGAUUUUAUUCUCUUUUUCUUUGUCUCAUACUAACUUUAGGCUCACAAAUCUUGAAUUACAACCAAAAGAAAGAUUCCCCCCAUUGAAUUUGUAUUUGAUUAUUGAAUUUGGACACAAUUUUUUCGUCAUCUUUGGUUUUUUUUGGGCGGCAGAAUGGAAAAUCUCCCAAGGGACAAAGAAAGGAUAAGAAGGAAAGUUUUUCUUGUGUAAAGAAGACAGUAGCUAAUGAUGAAGAGGAGAAAUCUUGUGCAAAUUGUGAUGUUUUGAAGAAAAAGCACUCAUCUUGGAGUACAAUGUGGGAAAUGAGGUCUUGAAGGGUUUGUCAAAAAGAAUGCCCUCAGCCCAAGUAACCCCAAAAGGAAUCCCCAACUCAAAGUUUUGACUGAGCUUUCAAAGAAAGCAGCAAAAAGCAAUAAUCAGAAGGUACUGUUGAGGUGUAAUUUGGUAAAAGUUUCUCUUCUUUUUUUGUUUUUAUUUAGGAGUUCAGUAUUCCACUUGCUCGAUUAUGGAGUUAAAGCGCUCCAUACCAGGAGGGAUCUCUACUCGAGGUCGAUUCCAAUUUGGUAAAAUUUCUAGUUGUAGAUCGUGGGGUUUGAGGAGAGGAUGCCUUUUGGCUCUUCCCUUUGAUGUGUACUCUGUGUUCGUUCCUCUUGUACAUAUAAUAUACUACGAAUGUUUGGGUGAGAAUCAUGAGUGGAUGAUUAGAAGGUUGUUGUGAAUGUUCAAUGAUGCAUUUCAAGCCUUAAGCAAAUAAAGAAAGGGCCGUAAUCCAAGUAUUUUUCUCCAA